ACAGAUCUAUGUUAAUGGCAAACAAGAUACCUUCCAAGUAUUUAAUAUCAGUUCAAAUCUGAUGAUCUGUA
rnacentral:tRNA from 1 species